rnacentral:rRNA from 1 species
CCUACGGGACGCAGCAGUAGGGAAUCUUCGGCAAUGGACGAAAGUCUGACCGAGCAACGCCGCGUGAGUGAAGAAGGUUUUCGGAUCGUAAAACUCUGUUGUUAGAGAAGAACAAGGAUGAGAGUAAAAUGUUCAUCCCUUGACGGUAUCUAACCAGAAAGCCACGGCUAACUACGUGCCAGCAGCCGCGGUAAUACGUAGGUGGCAAGCGUUGUCCGGAUUUAUUGGGCGUAAAGCGAGCGCAGGCGGUUUCUUAAGUCUGAUGUGAAAGCCCCCGGCUCAACCGGGGAGGGUCAUUGGAAACUGGGAGACUUGAGUGCAGAAGAGGAGAGUGGAAUUCCAUGUGUAGCGGUGAAAUGCGUAGAUAUAUGGAGGAACACCAGUGGCGAAGGCGGCUCUCUGGUCUGUAACUGACGCUGAGGCUCGAAAGCGUGGGGAGCGAACAGGAUUAGAUACCCUGGUAGUC